GCUACCGACAAACUCAUCUUUGGUCAAGGAACUCAAGUGACUGUGGAACCAAAAAGCCAGCCUCCUGCCAAACCAUCUGUUUUCAUCAUGAAGAACGGAACAAAUGUUGCUUGUCUGGUGAAGGAUUUCUACCCCAAAGACGUGAAUAUAAGUCUCAGAUCAUCCAAGAAGAUAGCGGAAUUCGACCCUGCUAUAGUCAUCUCCCCCAGUGGGAAGUACAGUGCUGUCAAGCUUGGUCAGUAUGGGGAUUCAAAUUCAGUGACAUGUUCAGUUCAGCACAACAGUGAAACUGUGCACUCAACUGACUUUGAACCACAUGCAAAUUCUUUCGAUAAUAUAAAACCACCAGAACCUGAAAAUGACACACAAAUUUCAGAGCCUUGCCAUGGCCCAACAGUCACAGUUCACACCAAGAAGGUAAAUAUGAUGUCCCUCACAGUGCUGGGGCUCCGACUGCUGUUUGCCAAGACUGUUGCUGUCAAUUUUCUCUUUACUGCCACAUUAUUCCUUUAAAGUGGGCAGGCAUGAGGAGACUACGGUACCUGAAAGAAAUCAAAAGCUUAAAAAGGGGCUAUAUCCAAGGCUUCCAACUUCUCAGUGCUUCAAACUGACCCUUCACCACCAUAUUUAAACAGCUGCUAACAAAACCAGCUUUACUGUGACAGCAACGAGCCUAGUUAAUCCUCUGGUCUAGAAGAAAAGCAAAAGCCCUAGGGAGUGGAGUGUGCCCUGGCUUUACAUGCUGCUUUAUAAAGGCAUGGAACGCUACGAAAACAGAUCCAUUUUAUUUUGCCCCUAUAACUGGUAUACUUUGAAAAUGGUGUUUUGUCCUUCUUUAUUUACCCAGAACUAGAAAGUGGGGACCAGUAAAUCCCCAGCGUCAUUAUCCAGGAGGAAAAUGGUCUUGGGAGAGAGAACCAUAUCUUCUUAGCCAAACAUGGAAAGUUGCACUCAGCUCAUCCCUAGCCGGAGGCCCCCCUCCUCCUCUCAGAAGCCCCCUCCUCUCAGAGGCCCCCUCCUCCUCUCAGAGGCCCCCUCCUCCUCGCAGAGGCCCCCUCCUCCUCGCAGGAGGCCCCCUCCUCCUCGCAGAGGCCCCCUCCUCCUCGCAGAGGCCCCCUCCUCCUCUCCUAAGGCAUGUUUGGCCCAACCUCCAGAUUUACUCCAACAGCCAUACAGUAGAGUUUUCCUAACAGCACCAAGGUGUGAACAAUUUUAGCACUUUCUGUUUCUCCUAAUACUUUAUAAGCAAAAUCACAUUUGGCUUCCUUAAUGCUCUCCAAGCAGACAAUAAAGCUUCUAAAAUCACA